rnacentral:rRNA from 1 species
UAGAGAAUCUUCCACAAUGGGCGAAAGACCUGAUGGAGCAACGCCGCGUGUGUGAUGAAGGGUUUCGGCUCGUAAAACACUGUUGUAAGAGAAGAAUGACAUUGAGAGUAACUGUUCAAUGUGUGACGGUAUCUUACCAGAAAGGAACGGCUAAAUACGUGCCAG